AGAACGAACGCUGGCGGCAUGCCUAAUACAUGCAAGUCGAACGAACACUUCGGUGUUAGUGGCGCACGGGUGCGUAACGCGUGGGAAUCUGCCCUUGGGUUCGGAAUAACAGUUGGAAACGACUGCUAAUACCGGAUGAUAUCGAAAGAUCAAAGAUUUAUCGCCCAUGGAUGAGCCCGCGUAGGAUUAGCUAGUUGGUGAGGUAAAGGCUCACCAAGGCGACGAUCCUUAGCUGGUCUGAGAGGAUGAUCAGCCACACUGGGACUGAGACACGGCCCAGACCUCCGUACGGGAGGCAGCAGGUAGGGAAUAGUUAGGACAAGUGGGCGCGAAGCCUAGACUCCC
rnacentral:rRNA from 1 species